rnacentral:tRNA from 1 species
CCGGGUGGCGGCCCGGCGGGCGGUGGCCUCCAGCGCCGCCGCGACGGCCUCGUCCGGGCCGGUCGCGGCGGCGGCCCGGU